rnacentral:lncRNA from 1 species
UUUUCCUCACAAAAGUAACAAAGCAUCCUCCAUUCCUCAAUCAAAAUUCAGAGCUAAGCUCAAUACAUCGACGAAAGUUUGAUGUCACUUUUAUACGGCUGGGUAUAAAAAGCUCGUAGACUUGAACAUCGUCACAGUUGCAGUUUUCUGCUACAUAGGAACUUACUCCUCUGGUCAACUUUCCUAAUUUGAAAUUUUCAAAUAUGCAGAAAGUGUGCGCAGUUUUGGCUUUUGCCGCCAUAGUGAGCCCCUGCGUGGCGUCACUCUAUGACGGACUAGGGUACAACAACGUCUACCCUUCCUGCUCAUCGCAAAGCUAUUCGGUAGGAAGCCCCGGUGUGUAUCUUCAGUCUGGAACCAACUUGGUUCCAACCUCCACCUCAUACGGCUGCAAUUCAUCCCCUUAUGUUUACGGCUCGACUUUGAUUCCAACCAUUCCCACUCAGUGUGGAACAUCGGUAGUGUCCGGAACCGGCUGCUAUUCAACCCCCGUGACGGUCCAAACCGUGCCAACCUACAUCACAUCCCCCAACUGCGGUUCCUCGACCCCCGUGAUUAUCCAGACGACUCCCAGUUGCGGCUGUCAGUCAUCCCCAGUUACUGUGCAACCCGGAGUUGGAACUUAUAUCACAUCCCCUAACUGUGGCUGCUCUUCGACCCCUGUCGUUAUCCAGACAACUUCCAACUGCGGCUUUUCUUCUUGUGCUUCUCCAGUGACUGUACAACCCUAUGUCACAACCACCAACUGUGGUUCCAGCUGCAAUAGUUGUAAUUGUAAUGGUUACCAGGGUUGCUUCUCGAAUUACAACGGCGGCUGUAGUUGUGGCUCAGGUUGUUAUAACAGUCCUUGCUCAACAUCAGAUUCCUGUGGCUCAUACCAAACCUAUUGCUGAGAGGUUUCAGAUUGCUGGAAAGUUAGUAAAGUAUUUUUAUGUACUUUUGUCGUCCAUAGUAUUUCCAAAAUAAGUUUUAUUGUCACGUUCUACAUGCCUGAGAGGCUGAAAUAUGAAAAAUAAAUUGUCUUGUAUUAUCUUUGAAU